rnacentral:lncRNA from 1 species
GUUCGGUUAUGGUCAAUCUGAAAUAGCUCGUCCGGAGUCGAAAUGAGGUCCUCAGUAAGAACUGAUAACCAAGAAUAGCCGGUAUCAUUUUGAUACGGUGUGUUCAACAACUUUCGGAUUUAUGGCGCAUACAUGAUCUGACUAAUACCCAUCUUCCACAGUUCGGCUGGUGCCGAGGAUGUAUCCAGUUGAGACCGAAGUGG